GGGAUGUUCUCCAAUGUAAUGCAGUCGCCUUCAUCAUCAGAUUUAGCUCAUCUGCAAUCCGCUGUGCUUUGUCCAUCUCCAUUCCAAUUGUAAACAAACACCAUGCUGGUUCAGUAACGGUACGGUUCCAC